UCCGCACUUGCGCCCUUGUGCCCCUCAAUGCGCGUUCUCGCUAAGGGGUGCGAGGCCGUAGGGUGUCCCGAUCCUCUAAUAGUGUUCUCAAGGGGUGAUCAUAAGGGCACUUAAUGCACCCCUUUCGCAAGUGCGCAUCAGACCUCACUUUGCUAUGGGAUAUUACCCAGAAUCCUUGUAAAGGAGAACGGUUGCUAUGGUGCUGUUCGGGAGCGGAAACUCCGAAGAUAAAGGAAGCCGGUGUGGUGACGUGGUUUUAAGGCCGCGAAAUUUAAAAAUAUUAGUGUUAUUGUGUCACGAAAUGUAGUUUUAAGAGUUUUUCAGUCGAGAAUAUAGUUGUUUAAAGCUCAAAUAUGUGGUUUAUUUAUA